AAACACACACACACACACACACACACACACACACACACACACACACACACACACACACACACACACACAGGAAGAAAUAGGAAACGAUCCCCGUGUUUCCGCCCAUAGCAAUUACUACAACAGGAAGUCCCGGCGCCCGCGAGUCCUUGGCUGGGUCUGAUUCCCGCCCGAAGGUGUGCAGAAGCCCCGCGCCCAAUGGUCUCCGCCGCCCAUUCAACCGCACGCCCACGACAGACCUUGCCUGUGGGGGCUUGACCACCGUUAGCGUGAAAGGAGAAUGUCGCAAAUGCAUAAACGCCGUCCAGACAAUCAUGAUCGUGACAUGAACCUCAGGAGUGAUAAUCCGGCCUUGAUACCGAAACCCGCUGGCAGUUAUCGUGAGGAAUCUACAGGACACUGAGAUUCCUGAGAAGUUCUUUACAGACAUUCUGCUCAGACUUAUAACGGAAACUUCACGAGGUCUAAAAUUACCUAGAGACAGAGGCAAUAAGAAGCAAUGCCACGCGUAUGCAGCUGCGGCCUGAGCUGUGCCUGCGGAGGAAUGACAAG
rnacentral:lncRNA from 1 species